GGGGACUUAGCUCAAUGGUAGAGCACCUGCUUUGCACGCAGGGGGUCAGGAGUUCGAAUCUCCUAUCCUCCA
rnacentral:tRNA from 1 species